CAUAUCAUUGAUUUCCAGUAGAGCGCUGAAGUCUGCUCUACGGCAAAUCACAUUCACUCUUUUUCUUGUGGAACCUGUCCCUCAAAAAACAUGAUGCUUUGAUGCUGUAUUUCUCCGUGCCCCUCAUGCAUUCUAAUGUAUUUUAGGAUGGAGUCUAACACAGAGCAGUCUUUGGUUACAGGAUACGGUUUCUGAUUUUACCGUCAUUCAGAUGAAGCCACUGUGUACUGAGGCUGUCCUAGAUUAUAUCCUGGGCUCAGUAGCUUUGUUCCCAUUUCUCAGAUGCACUGUUGCAAGGCCACAUGUGGCAGCCGGGGUGCUGUUAUUCAUCACCAGGGACCGUCUUCCUGGCCAGGAAUGAUUCUUGUACUUGGAAGCGCUUACCGUUGGUCGCUUGGCCGUCUCUGCUUCCUUCUUCCUUGUCGGGUUGGCCCUGUGAUGGAUUCGUGCUGGGUGAGGAAGUCACGAUAAUCUAGUGAGUUGGCUACGUUCUAUUCCAAUCCCGGGGUCCUUGUGCCUCCCCAGGUGGAGCCAGGCCCAUCACGACGAAUCAACGAUGGUGCCACUCAUUUGAUGGUUAUGAUACGUACACCCACAGGACUCUGGGGGCUGCUCCGCCGGUGCCCAGCUGGAUCCCUGCCAUGCACAAGCUGGCUGCAGGCCACCCCACAUCUGGCUCCCUAGAGUUUCUGCUGCACAGCAAAGAGACCCAGUCAUACAUUUUCAAACAGCUUCAAGUUCACUCGCGGUUCAAGUCUUUGACCCAAGAUAUACGUUCACCCGGCCAAAGGCGGACCUGGAGAGGCCCUCUGUGCUGGUGGAAAUGCAGUUUUCACCAUGGAGAUAUUCACUUCGCCUUGACGUCAUAAAGAUGCAGUGUUCCUUGCUGCGGAGAGACUCCAUCAGCUGACUUUUCCUUGUCACGUCAGGGUGUCCUGUAACGCUACGUGUAGAAAUUUCUUUUUCAGAAUUAAAUUUGGGAGAAUAUCAAAAGCUUUGUGUUCAGAGUUAUGAACUGAAAUGGGUUUCUGGGCUCCCCAAAUUCACAUGUGCAAAUCCCAGGACCUCAGGAUGGGGCUGUCUUAGGAGACGGGUCUUUCAAGAGGGGGUGGAGGUAAAUGAAGUCACAAGGGGGGAUCCUGACCCCUCCAAAGACUGGGGUCCUUUGACGGAGAGGAGGUCAGGACACAGACAUGGCCAGAGGGACAGCCCUGUGAAGACACAGGAAGGAGACGGCCAUUGACCUGCUCAGGAGAGAGGCCUCGGGAGGGACCCGCCCUGCCCGCCCCUGGGGCUCAGACUCCAGGCUCCAGGCCUGGAGGACAUUAAUUUCUACUGUUUAAGUUCCCAAGUCUGUGAUACUGUGUGGUAGUGACCCUGCCAGUCAAUGACGCCCAUGAUUUAAGGCAGUUUUAAUUAUGCAG